GUUAGAUACAACACUCACAUUGUACAAGUUAUAUGGAACAGGAUUAUUACUUACAGAUAGGUGGCAAGGGACAACAGAAGCCCAGGAUCCACAGUGAGCUGGUCAGCCGAGGCUCUGGAGAGCUGUCGGGGGUGGAUGGAGUCCUGACUGAACAUGCCACACUUGGACUGCAGCUUAGGGAUCCCAAAAGGCAACCCACCUUGAGUUAACUCAGGGGACAUGUGAGUUGCUGGGCUAAAGCAUUGAAGGGCGUCUUGCUUCUAAGAUAAAGACUAAAGCUCAGGCUAUCCUGAGCAAUUCUUCUCUAACUCAAGAAGUUCUCUUCCCUAGGAGGGCAAAUAACAAAGCCUGGUCUAUUUCUAGCAGUUCCUCCCUGUCUCAGGAUAUUGCAUGCUCACACAUGCUUCAACUAUUCUGAGAACUACAAUCAACAAGACAGAAGAAGACUAGGUCUGUCAAGGCUAUACAGAAACUGUCCAACACUUGGACUUUGCACUGUUGCUGAAUGUGGUUAUUAGCUCCGAGAGUUUUUUUUUUAAUAUUUUGGGGUUUUCUUUAUAAAGGAUAGAUCAUCUACAAAUACUUCUUGCUUUUCAAUUUAGAUGAUGUUUCCUUUCCUGCCCAAUUUAUCUGGUUAAAACGUCUGAUACACUGUUGAAUAGAAGAGGCAAGGGCACAUGUUCAUGUCUUGUUCCUGAUAUUGGGAGAAAGCAUCCCGUUUUUCACCAGUAAGUAUGAUAUUGGCCCUGGUUUUUCUUAGAUUGCUUUGGAAGAAAUCAGUAUUAUGUAAGAUUCAGAAUUCAAGAUGUACAAUGACAGAUGAAAUAAGGUGAUGGCACAAGGAAGGUUCUGAGAGUAUGUAGAUAUAUUUAUGCAAAUUAUAUAAGAAAACUGAGGGAAUUCAUUUCUUGACAUGUCAUUUUCUCAACAAAUUAUGAGAUGUAUACAUGUUCUCACUCGUAAGUGAGAGCUAAGCUAUGCAUACACAAAAGCAUAUAGAGUGGUAUAAUGGACACUUGAGACUCGGAAGUGGAGAGGCUGGAAGGGGGUGAAGAGUGAAAAACUACCUAUUGGAUAGUAAAUGUACACUAUUUGGGUGGUGAGUGCACUAAAAGCCCACACUCCACUACUAUAUCAUUCAUCCAUGUAACAAAAUGUCAUUGUACCCCUAAAAUUAUUGAAAUUAAUUUUGUAAGUACAUGAUGUCUCAUUAGAUUUCAAAAGAAGAAGAAGCUUGAAAUGGAAGUUUGGGUCUGUUGUAAUAAAACAGAAUAUAUACUUUGAAGUGGCUGUCAUGUCUCAGUGUUUAUGGGAGCCUAAAAAAGUCAAACUCAGAAGUAGUAAGUAGCAUGGUGACUACCAGAAGCUGGGGUGAAGGUGGUGGGCGGGGAAAGAGGAAAUGUUGGUUAAAAGUUUCAAAGUUUCAGUUAGACAGGAGGAAUCAUCUCUUGCACAGCAGAGUAAUUAUAGGUAAUGGCGUAUAAUUUCUAAAUGCUAAAACAGUGGAUUUUAAAUGUUCUUGCCACAAAUAAAUAAGUAUGUGAGGUGGUGGAUAUGUUAAUUAGCCUUAUUUGAUCAUUCCACAGUGUAUACAUGUAUCAAAACAUCACGUUGUAUCCCAUAAAUAGAUACAAUUAGUAUUUGUCAAUUAAAAAUGAAAAAAGAAGACAAUGGUAAUUGUGCUCAAUGGUUUCAUACUCUAGAGGGGAGUGGGAUGUAAGACAGUAUAGAAACCAACAUUGUAUAAGGCAGAAUAUUUAAAAAUAAUACAUCAUAUUAAAACCAGCUAAGACUUUCGGAGUAAAAGAUUAUGACGGCUGUUUACAAAGACCACAGCAGGGAGUUCCAGGUAGUUUCUGUCUAAGUAAGCUUUAACCACUUAGAAACUGGGAGUGUGAAAAGGGUCUUUCUGCAGGCUGACUUUUUAUUGGAUACAUUCUAGAUCCUCGAGUUGUAAAGUCCAAGGGUUAUUUCCUGAAUUCUUGCUCUAAAUUUGCAGCAUUCAUUUCUUAGUGUUUAUUUUACAUUCAGAUGACAGCCACAUUUGCCAGAAUCAAGACACUUCUAUGACUUUUAUUCAAUUACAGCAUAUAGAUACAUAAUAUGUUCUUUUAUAUUGCAAACAAACAUAUUUUUCCAUCCUUGAUGAAUCUUUCGAUCUACUUUUGUAGCCUUGCUGCUUUCUGAUUGAAAAGUCAAAUUUUAACAUGUUUAAAAUGUGUUUCUAGGAUGUGUUAAUCAUAUGAUGGCAUGGUGAUUAAUUGAGAGAUGUCCAUGUUGUAACAAGUUUUUCCAAUCUUCAGUUGUUAUUCUUUUAGUAAUUAAUGAGUCUAUAAAGAGAGGACUUGCUAAAGGUAAAGCUUGGAUCGUUAAGGUGACAUUUUGUUAAGGUUAAAGCAAAUUAUAUAAUCCUCUGAAGGAGCGCUUCUGGUUUUCCCAGCUCUGGCCAGGACAGCCUAUCUGUGCAGGAGGCAUUGCUGGCACCCCGUGGGGACUGAGGACCAAGGAGGAGCUGCUCCCCCACACACGGUUCGUACUUCUGCUCUGUGAAGAGAGACAACUGUGCCCUGUCACCUUCACUGAACUAUGAGGUGUGUCCUGAUGCUGUGCAUGACAUCUUGGGUUUGCAGAACUGUUCACUCUCUCCCUGGAUUUAAAAUGAGUUCAAAUUAUAAGACCUUCAUUUUAUUGGUAAUAUAUUAAAAUUUGGGGGAAAGAACUAGUUUUAAAACUUUCUAUUAAGCCUAAAGUAGUGGCAAAUUUCAUAAUUAGAUUGCACAAUAUUGGAUAGCUUAAAAAUUUCAAAAUUGCCAAUUUGUUACUUGUCUGUAUUUGAUGUAUACUGUAAAAUACAAAAUGCACUUUAUGUUUUCCAUCGUGCAACAGUGAAACACUGGAGAUUCAUUCAAUCAUAUAACGGGUAUUUAUUGAAUGUCCAUGAUACGUCAGGCAACUUGGAUUGCUAAGAUAAAUAAGAUGUUUAAGUAGUGUCAUUUAGUGUUACAGAUAUGAUGACAGAAGUAUGUGCUGUAUAUAUUAAUGCUUCUGAAGCAAAGUGUGGGCAGGCAGAUUACUUUAUAAAAAGAAAUAAAAGUCAUCUCAAUUAGAAGGAAAGAAGUAAAACUAGCUCUAUUUGCACUUGAAAUUAUCUUUCACAUAUAAGAUCCUAAAGCAACCAGAAAGAAGCCAUUAGAAUGAAGAGCUGGUAAGUUUAGCAAGGGUUUGGUAUACUCAGUCAAUAUACAAAAAUCAAUCUGCCUUUAUGCACUAGCAAUGAAACAAUCCAAAAUUUAAAUGAAAACAAUUCCAUUUACAACAAUAGCAUCCAAAAUGAAAUGCUUAAGAACACAUUUAGCAAAAGAAGUGCAAGACUUCUACACUGAAAACUAAAAAACAUCGUUAUGUGUGAAGGGGAGGGAAGAAAGGAGGCUAGAGGAUAACUUAAGAAUUAAGGGCAUCUUAUUUUGGGUUGAUAAUGUUGAGGAUGCUUAUGACUGAAAGGGAGUUAUUCAUUCUUCAGUGAUUUCUUAAUUUGAAAUAUGGAACCAAUGUUUCUGCAUAACAUAAACAUACAAAUGAAUUAAAGUGAAAAUUCUAAGGUUCCCAUUAUUGCUAUGCUUAUGUUUAUGAGAGAAUUUUAAGAUUUUAUCAAGUUCCCAAAGUACUCGAAAAAGAAAAAAAAAUCAUGGUGGGUAUUAUAUAGCUUAAACAUUCCAGUUUGCCCAGUCUUGAUAAAAAUCACUUAAAAAAACAGAAAAAAAUUGAAUUUUUUUAGGUUUGAUUUGGUUGUUGUCAUUUCAAAAUCAAGGUUCCCAAUCAGCUUUCUGAUUGCUAUCUGAUAAAGGUAAUUAAAAAUAGAUACAUACAGCACAUUAGAGCAUUACUGCUUAUGAAAGGAUUCCAAAUAAAGUGUUCAAAUACAGGGUGUCUGCUGAACAUCUAAUUUGUGCCAGGACCAUAGUUGAGACUGAGGGGAACAGACACUCUCAGAAUCCACUUAUGACAGCUCCAGCAGAAACGGGGUUUCACCAUGUUAGCCAAGAUGGUCUCGAUCUCCUGACCUCGCGAUCCGCCCGCCUUGGCCUCCCAAAGUGCUGGGAUUAUGCAUUCUCUCUUUACAUCACAGAUGACCAUGACCUUGGAUAUGGAGUCCACUCAAAAGUAAUCUGAACUAAUAAACAAAUUCUGCAAGGUUGAAGAAUACAAGGGAGAUAUGGAAUCACCAAAGAAUACUGACACAGAAGAACCAAGUAGGAGAGUGUGCAAUUCCCAGUCUCAUAUCUCAUUACAAAACCAAACUAAACAAGGCAUUGGCACAAGAAUAGACAUACAGAUCAAUGGAACAGAACUGAGACCCCAGAAAUAAAACCAAGUGGUCAGCUGACUUUUUGAAAGCUUGCCAAGACCAUCAAAUGGGGAAAAAUUUUUUUAAUAUACGUUGCAGGGAUAAUUGGAUAUAAACAUCCAAAAGAAUGAACUUGGAUGCUUAUCUUGCACCAUAUGCAAAAAUAACUGAAAAUGAAUUCAAGGCUAUAACUAUUAACUCAGAAAAAAAAAAUGAGCUGCAUUUUCAUGAUCCUAGGUUUGGCAAAAUACUCUUAAGUAUAACUCCAAAAAAAAACCCACCAAAAAACCUAGAUAAGUUAAAUUUCAUCAAAAUUAAACAUUUUGGGCAUCAAAGGGCAUCAUUAAUAAAAUGAAUAGACUUACUACAGAUUGUGAGAAAAUGCUUGCAUAUCAUACGUCUGGUAAGCAAAUUGUUUCUAGAGUAAUAUAUUAAAAAACUCUUACAACUCAAUAAGAAGAAGACAAAUAACACAAACUAAAAACUGGCAAAGGAUCUGAAUAGAUCUUUCUCCCAGCAAGAUCUACAAAUAGCUGAUAAUCACAUGAAGAGGUGCCUGGCAUCAUUAGUCAUCAGGAAAAUGCAAAUCAAAAAACCACAGCUAGGUACUACGUCACACCCACUAGGAUGGCCAGAACCCAAAUGACAGAUAGUAGGUAUCAGAAAAGAUAUGGAGAAAGUGGAACCCUUAUACACUGUUGGCAGAAUUUGAAAUGAUACAUCCACCUUGUAAAACAGUUUGGACAUUCCUCAAAGGAUUAAACAUAGAGUUACCAUAUGAUCCAAAAACCCUACUCUUUGAUACAUACACAAGAAGAAUGGAAACGUAUAUUCACACAAAAGCUGAAACAUGAAUGUUUAUAGCAGCAUUAUUUAUAUAGCCAAAAGAUAGAAACGACCUAAUUCCUGCCUGCGGUUGAUGCUGAUAAACAAAAUGUCCUAAAUGUCCCCAACUGCAGUGAUGGUUGCAUAGUUCAUGAAUAUACCAAAAUCAAUUGACUUGUUAACUUUCUAGUAUGUGAGUCAUAUUUUAAUGAACUGUUAAGAAAAUUUAAAAACAUAAUGAGUAGGAGAGACCUUCAUGUUAAGAAGAUGAGAGGCUGCCAGGCGCGGUGGCUCACGCCUGUAAUCUCAG
rnacentral:lncRNA from 1 species